rnacentral:rRNA from 1 species
CUACGGGAGGCAGCAGUGGGGAAUAUUGCACAAUGGGCGCAAGCCUGAUGCAGCCAUGCCGCGUGUAUGAAGAAGGCCUUCGGGUUGUAAAGUACUUUCAGCGGGGAGGAAGGGAGUAAAGUUAAUACCUUUGCUCAUUGACGUUACCCGCAGAAGAAGCACCGGCUAACUCCGUGCCAGCAGCCGCGGUAAUACGGAGGGUGCAAGCGUUAAUCGGAAUUACUGGGCGUAAAGCGCACGCAGGCGGUUUGUUAAGUCAGAUGUGAAAUCCCCGGGCUCAACCUGGGAACUGCAUCUAAUACUGGCAAGCUUGAGUCUCGUAGAGGGGGGUAGAAUUCCAGGUGUAGCGGUGAAAUGCGUAGAGAUCUGGAGGAAUACCGGUGGCGAAGGCGGCCCCCUGGACGAAGACUGACGCUCAGGUGCGAAAGCGUGGGGAGCAAACAGGAUUAGAUACCCCCGUAGUC